UAAUAUGAAGAUCCUAGCCGCAAGAAAAAAAGAUACUGCAUGACAAACGCAAAAGUUCAUUAACCACUUGAAACUUUUGAUGAUAAAAUAUAUAUGUGCUUACAAUAAAAUAUAUGUUAUGUUUACGUUAUUAUAUUGAAGGGUGAAGGACUUUUGAGAAGUAGUUUAAAUUUUUUACAUUUCAUUAAAUUACACGUGCGAGGCACGUGCAUUUAAACUAGUGAUUUGAGAAAAAUGAAUGAAAAAUGAGAAAAAAAAAAAAGAAUAAAGAAAUAUACAAAAAAAAAAGAAAAAAAAAAGAACAAGAAAUAAAGAAAUUAAAAAAUAAAGAGAAAAUUAAAAAAAUAAAUUAGAAGGAAUCAAUAAAGAAAAAAAAACAGAAAAAUAAAAGAAGAAAAAAAGAAAAAGAGAAGUAGAGAAAAAAUAUAUGAAUAAAGAAAUAAACAAGAUAAAAGAAAGAGAAAGAAAAAAAAAGGAGUAUAUAAAAUACAAAAAUAAACAAGAAAAAAAAGAAAGGAGUAUAUAAAAUAAAAAUUGAGUGUAAAUUAGAUUAUGGUGUAAAAAUAAAAAAUAAAAUAAUUUUACAAAAAAAUUAAAUAAACAAAGAAGCAUAUAAAAAAAAUGAAACCACAAAAAAGGGUAAAAAGAAAAAAAGAAAAGAAAUAAAAAGGAAAAAAAUUAAAAGUGAGAUAAAUAACUAAAGCUACCGGACAUUUAAUGUAACUAGUUUAGGUGUGCGUGCCUCGCGCAUAUACCUUACUUUAAUGAGUUCAAUUUUAUAAAAUCACUUGGACAUAAGAGGCAUGAUAGUUAUCACUUAUCACAUAAUUAUUAUUGGUUUGAUCAUUGAUGCUAAUAAUAAUAAGAAAAUGCAGACAAUGCUAACUAAACUAUCAAACAAACCUUCCGGGUCCUCUAUAACCUCCUAUUUAAGUUCAUGCUUUCGAUAAGCUGAAAUUGUGUCAUGUCCAUACCAUACAACAUAAUCAAUCCAACCACCAUUCUAUACAACUCAGAUUUGGCGUUUCUAAACAAAAACUAAUUACUAAGGAGAAAAGAUAUUUUAGUACGUAGACAAGGAUAAUCAUAAUCCUCUAGCAGGUUAGAGUACUUAGGCAAGGCAAAAUCACUAAGGAAAAAAAGUAUUGCAAGACGAUAGAAAUAUAUUUAGUGAAUAUCUGAAUGGAAAGACAAUCUCAUCUACUUUCUCAUUUUAUCUCCAAUGAUGAACAUAAUCUGUGUUAGGUCUGCUCCAACAUGCAUAGAAGAGGAUGAUUGUAAAAAUUUAAAUUAUCAAUAUGUGAGUUAAAAGUACAGGGUUUAUGUAUUAGUGUUGUGUUUUGACACGAAAUACAACGCCAUAUUUAUUGACAACUCAAAUUAUGAUAAAAUUUAAGGCCCUAAAAUAACUGAUAAAAAAAAAACAUGUGAUAAAAAGUUUUGAUGGAAGUAUUAAUUAAAAUGACCUAAGAUAUACAGUAAGACGAAGAACUUUCAUUCCAUAUAAAAGUAAAAGAAAAAAAAAGGAGUAUAUAGAUGCAAACCUGGUAAUAACCAAUGAAAGUUACUUCGUCUUCAUCGUUUAAAUAUGUGUGGGUAAUUCCACCUAAAGACAGGCUUUUGUCCAUUUCAUGUUAAUUCAAGCAAACAUUCAUAAGCUUCUGGUUUGUAGAGACGGAUGGAUGAAUAAUAACAUCAGUAAAACAAGAGAGCAAGGAAAAUUGGAGCAAGGAGCUCUUAGAGGCAUCAAACAGCUAUCAACCACGUAAUUUUGAGGGCUUAUUUUUUCUUUUCUCUUUAUUUUUUUUUUA
rnacentral:lncRNA from 1 species